AGUGAACGCUGGCGGUAGGCCUAACACAUGCAAGUCGAACGGCAGCACAGUAAGAGCUUGCUCUUACGGGUGGCGAGUGGCGGACGGGUGAGGAAUACAUCGGCAUCUACUUUUUCGUGGGGGAUAACGUAGGGAAACUUACGCUAAUACCGCAUACGACCUACGGGUGAAAGCAGGGGAUCUUCGGACCUUGCGUGAUUGAAUGAGCCGAUGUCGGAUUAGCUAGUUGGCGGGGUAAGGGCCCACCAAGGCGACGAUCCGUAGCUGGUCUGAGAGGAUGAUCAGCCACACUGGAACUGAGACACGGUCCAGACUCCUACGGGAGGCAGCAGUGGGGAAUAUUGGACAAUGGGCGCAAGCCUGAUCCAGCCAUACCGCGUGGGUGAAGAAGGCCUUCGGGUUGUAAAGCCCUUUUGUUGGGAAAGAAAAGCAGCAGGUGAAUACCCCGCUGUUCUGACGGUACCCAAAGAAUAAGCACCGGCUAACUUCGUG
rnacentral:rRNA from 1 species